AACGUAGGAGACAAACGUUAUCCGGAGUUACUGGGCGUAAAGGGCGUGUAGGCGGUUAGUUAAGUCUGGCGUGAAAGCUCUCGGCUAAACCGGGAGAGGUCGUUGGAUACUGGCAAACUAGAGGACGGUAGAGGCGUGUGGAAUUCCGGGUGUAGUGGUGAAAUGCGUAGAUAUCAGGAGGAACACCGGUGGCGAAGGCGGCUUUCUGGACAGAUACCGACGCUGAGGCACGAAAGCUAGGGGGAGCAAACAGGG
rnacentral:rRNA from 1 species